GACGGAGGAUGCAAGCGUUAUCCGGAAUGAUUGGGCGUAAAGCGUCCGCAGGUGGCAGUUCAAGUCUGCUGUCAAAGACCGGGGCUUAACUUCGGAAAGGCAGUGGAAACUGAACAGCUAGAGUAUGGUAGGGGCAGAGGGAAUUCCUGGUGUAGCGGUGAAAUGCGUAGAGAUCUGGAGGAACACCGAUGGCGAAGGCAGCCUUCUGGGCCAACACUGACGCUCAUGCACGAAAGCGUGGGGAGCAAACAGG
rnacentral:rRNA from 1 species